UCUUCUGGCUGUCCGAGUUGUAAUCUGGAGAAGCGUUUUCUGUGUUAGACCGUGUACAAGUCUCCUGGAACGGAGCGUCAUAGAGGGUGAGAAUCCCGUCCAUGACACGGACUACUAAUACUUUGUGAUACGCUCUCGAAGAGUCGAGUUGUUUGGGAAUGCAGCUCAAAAUGGGUGGUAAAUUCCAUCUAAAGCUAAAUACAGGCGAGAGACCGAUAGCGAACAAGUACCGUGAGGGAAAGAUGAAAAGCACUUUGGAAAGAGAGUUAAACAGUACGUGAAAUUGUUGAAAGGGAAACGCUUGAAGUCAGUCGCGUUGUGCAGAACUCAGCCUUGCCUCGGCUUGGUGUACUUUCUGCAUACAACGGGUCAACAUCAAUUUUGGCCCAUGGAGAAAGGUGGGGGGAAUGUAGCGCUGCUUCGGCAGCGUGUUAUAGCCCUCCAUUGUAUGCAUGGGCUGGGAUUGAGGAACGCAGCACGCCCUUGUGGCCGGGGGUUCGCCCCACGUACCGUGCUUAGGAUGUUGGCAGAAUGGCUUUAAGCGACCCGUCUUGAAACACGGACCAAGGAGUCUAACAUGCUUGMGAGUGUUCGGGUGGAAAACCCUUGUGCGUAAUGAAAGUGAAAGUUGGGAACCUCCGCAAGGGGGUGCACCGACGCCCGGCCCUGAUGUUCUCUGACGGUGCUGCGGUAGAGCAAGUAUGCUAGGACCCGAAAGAUGGUGAACUAUGCCUGAAUAGGGCGAAGCCAGAGGAAACUCUGGUGGAGGCUCGUAGCGAWUUCUGACGUGCAAAUCGAUCGUCAAAUUUGGGUAUA
rnacentral:rRNA from 1 species